GAUGAACGCUAGCUACAGGCUUAACACAUGCAAGUCGAGGGGCAGCAUGAGAUUAGCUUGCUAAUCUUGAUGGCGACCGGCGCACGGGUGAGUAACGCGUAUCCAACCUUCCCCAUAGUAGGGCAUAGCCCGUAGAAAUGCGGAUUAAUACCCUAUGUUUUCCUUUGCAGGCAUCUAACGAGGAAUAAAGGUUUACCGCUAUGGGAGUGGGGAUGCGUCUGAUUAGGUUGCAGGCGGGGUAACGGCCCACCUGGCCUACGAUCAGUAGGGGUUCGUGAGAGGAAGGUCCCCCACCACUGGUACUGAGACACGGACCAGACUCC
rnacentral:rRNA from 1 species